AGUUUGAUCCUGGCUCAGAACGAACGCUGGCGGCAGGCUUAACACAUGCAAGUCGAACGCCCCGCAAGGGGAGUGGCAGACGGGUGAGGAACACGUGGGAACGUACCCUUUGGUUCGGAACAACUCUGGGAAACUAGGGCUAAUACCGGAUACGAGCGAGAGCUGAAAGGUUUACCGCCGAAGGAUCGGCCCGCGUCUGAUUAGCUAGUUGGUGAGGUAAUGGCUCACCAAGGCGACGAUCAGUAGCUGGUCUGAGAGGAUGAUCAGCCACAUUGGGACUGAGACACGGCCCAAACUCCUACGGGAGGCAGCAGUGGGGAAUAUUGGACAAUGGGCGCAAGCCUGAUCCAGCCAUGCCGCGUGAGUGAUGACGGCCCUAGGGUUGUAAAGCUCUUUUACCCGGGAAGAUAAUGACGGUACCGGGAGAAUAAGCCCCGGCUAACUUCGUGCCAGCAGCCGCGGUAAUACGAAGGGGGCUAGCGUUGUUCGGAUUUACUGGGCGUAAAGCGCACGUAGGCGGACGCUUAAGUCAGGGGUGAAAUCCCGAGGCUCAACCUCGGAACUGCCUUUGAUACUGGGUGUCUUGAGUCCGGAAGAGGUGAGUGGAACUGCGAGUGUAGAGGUGAAAUUCGUAGAUAUUCGCAAGAACACCAGUGGCGAAG
rnacentral:rRNA from 1 species